rnacentral:rRNA from 1 species
GACGAACGCUGGCGGCGCGCUUAACACAUGCAAGUCGAACGGAAAGGCCUGCUUUCCCUUGUGGAUUGCGGGUACUCGAGUGGCGAACGGGUGAGUAACACGUGAGUGAUCUGCCCCCAACUUGGGUAUAAGCCUGGGAAACUGGGUCUAAUUCCCGAUAGGACUGCAGGGUGGUGCCUGUGGUGGAAAACGAUUUUCUAGUGGUUGGGGAUGAGCUCGCGGCCUAUCAGCUUGUUGGUGGGGUAAUGGCCUACCAAGGCGGCGACGGGUAGCCGGCCUGAGAGGGUGGUCGGCCACAUUGGGACUGAGAUACGGCCCAGACUCCUACGGGAGGCAGCAGUGGGGAAUAUGGCACAAUGGGCGGAAGCCUGAUGCAGCGACGCCGCGUGGGGGAUGACGGCCUUCGGGUUGUAAACUCCUUUCGACCGCGAGGAAGCCACCUGGUUGGAAGGGUGGUGACGGUAGUGGUAGAAGAAGCACCGGCUAACUACGUG